GACGAACGCUGGCGGCGUGCUUAACACAUGCAAGUCGAGCGGUAAGGCCCUUUCGGGGGUACGACGAGCGGCGAACGGGUGAGUAACACGUGGGUGACCUGCCUUUAGCUCUGGGAUAAACCUGGGAAACUGGGUCUAAUACCGGAUAUGACUCCAUGAUGCAUGUUGUGGGGUGGAAAGCCUUGUGCGGCUGGAGAUGGGCCCGCGGCCUAUCAGCUUGUUGGUGGGGUGAGGCCUACCAAGGCGACGACGGGUAGCCGGCCUGAGAGGGCGACCGGCCACACUGGGACUGAGACACGGCCCAGACUCCUACGGGAGGCAGCAGUGGGGAAUCUUGCGCAAUGGGCGAAAGCCUGACGCAGCGACGCCGCGUGAGGGAUGACGGCCU
rnacentral:rRNA from 1 species